GGGGUAGAAGAAGCCAGUUUAUUCACUGUUACUGAAAAAAAAAAGCCAUCACUUCUCUUAUUCUCUAUUCUUUAGAUUGAUUUCAGAAUCAUGGAAUCUUGUUCCCAGACUUUGACUUCACCAUCCCAGCCAUGAGCGAUCCAUAAGCUGCCAGAUGUAUAGCCUGGAUUAAAAACCCCUGGCUGCCAUCUUGAACUACAAGGUGACUUUGAAGAUCAAACUAGAAAGACUCUAGGUGAUUGUAGAGUUUGCUAGGGCUGCUAUAACAAAAUGCCACAAAUUAAACAACAGAAAUUUUUUGUCUCACAGUUUUAGAGGGUAGAAGUCCAAGGUCAAGGUGCCAACAGGUUUGGUUUCUUCUGAGGCCUCUCUUUUUUGCUUGGAGAUGGCAGGCUUCUCCCUGUAUAUUCACAUGGUUACCCUGGUGGUCUGUGUGUUGUCUGUGCCCUAAUCUCCUCUUAUUAUAAGAACACACUGAAUUAAAGCCCACCCAUAUGAUCUUAUUUUACCUUAAUUUCCUCCUUAAAGGCCCUAUCUCCAAAUAUAGUCAUAGUCUGAGUUACUGGGGAUUAGGACUUUAACAUGAAUUUUGGAGGAUCACAGUUCAGCCUAUUUAUUACAGUUGCUAUGUGAUGAAUGUCUGUGUCCCUCAAAAUUUAUACAUUGAAGCCCAAUCCCCAGUGUGAUGGUAUCUGGAGGUGGGGUUUUGGGGAGGUACACUGAUCAUGGGAAUGAAAUGAAUGGGGUUAGUGUCCUUAUAAGAAGAGAUAUAAGAGACAUAAGAAAGUUUGCUCCUUUUCUUGGCAAUGUCAGAAUAACAGCAAGAAGGUGGCUAUCUGUAAGCCAGGAAGUGGACAUGGGAUAUGCCGGUGCCUUGAUCUUAGACUUCUCAGCCUCCAAAAUUGUGAGAAAUAAUGUUUGUUGUUUAAGACACCAGUCUAUGGUAUUUUUGUUAUAGCAGCUUGAACUGACCAAGACAACAGUGCCAUAAGAACCGAUAGGAUUUUACCACAUCAUGGAAGUCAAGGAUGGCUUCAAAGAACUGCUGAAUGAACAAAAAUGUCAAGAAUGGAAAUUAACAAUUGAAGAUAUGGUGGUAGAGAAGGGUCUUGUCCUGGAGGAGAAAAUGUGAGAACAAAGGCCUGUGGGGGAAAGGAGGACAUAUGGCUGGAUUUCUAGAGGGACGGAGCACCUGGUGGGAGGAAUAACUAGAAAGGAAGUGGAAUGAGACCAGGCAGGGUCAGGUAGGUUAGGGAUUUCUGUCUUACCCAAGAGCAAAAGAAAUCUGAUUAUUUGAAACAAGGGUGGCAUGGUCAGAUUUGCAUUUUGAAAAGGACACACUGGCUGCAGUUUGGGAAACAAAUUGGAGGGAUGCCAGAAUCAAUGGAGGAAACAAUAGAACAAAGAAGAGAAAAAUACAUAGGCCUGGGUCUGGAGGAGUGCCAACAUUUAAUGGCUGGGGAGUAAAGGAUAAGCCUAUAAACUUUUUCCAAGAAGUUGCUCUUAGAGGAGGUGAGAGAAAGAUUAGUAGCUGAAGAAGGGCAUAGGGCUUAGAUUUUGUUUUUCUAAUUGGAGAGAUAUGAGCAUGCUCCAAAUUUGAUGGGAAGCCACUGUGGAAAAUGACUUGACAAUUCCUGGAAAAUUUAAGCAAAGAAUUACCAUAUGACCUAGCAAUUCCACUCCUAGGUAUAUAUCCAGAGGAACUGAACACAGGUGUUUAAACAAAAACUUAUACACAGAUAGCCAAAAGGUGGGAAAGGGAAAGCCCAAAUAUCUGUCGGAUGAUGAACAGAUAAAUAAAAUGUGCUAUAUUCCUACAAGGAAUAUUAUUUGGUCACAAAAAAGAAUGAAGUACUGAUACAUACCACAAUUUGAGUGGACUUCAAAAAUACUGAGCUAAGUGAAAAAAGCCAGACACAAAGGUCAUAGAUUACAUGAUUUUGUUUAUGUAACAUAUCCAGAACAUGUAAACCCAUAGAGCUAGAAAGCAGAUUAGUGGUUGCCAGGGGCUAUAGGGAAGGAGAAAUGGGGAAUGACUGCUUAACGGAAACAGGUUUUCUGUUGGGCUGAUGAAAUAUUUGGAGUUAGAUUGAAGUGAUGGUUGUCCAACAUUGUGAAUAUACUGACUCACUCAGUUGAUACUUUAAAAUUUUAAUUUUACUUUAUGUGAAUUUUACCUCAACUUUUUUUAAAGGAAAGAAGUUCCUGGGAAACCUGAGAUGAAAGGCAGAGAAAAACAUUAAUAAAGAGUGGUAGGUUUCUGAGAAUUUGUGAAGAGAUAAAAUUAAAGAAAAGUAGAGAGAUUAUCGAAAAUAAGUAUGUGGCACAGCUCCUUUGUGUUAACAGGCAGAAAGUAAGAAAGAUGGGCAUCUAUACAUGGGUUUGUGCAUUUCCGUUGAGGAAAGCCCCUAUUAGUACAUCUAUUUUCUCUAUGAAUUAACAUGUGAGAUCACCAUGUGCUGAAAGCAAAGGGGCUGAAGGAUGAGCUAAAGACUUUAGGAUAAUUAAAAAAAAUUUUUUUAAGUCAUUGGAAAAAGUGAGACAGUGUAGACUAGAGAUAUUAAGAUAGUCGGAGUUGGUUAAGUUAAUAGCAUGUUUGGGAUUGGGCUUCUGAAGUUUUAAAGGAAUUAACCAGUCUGCCAUUUUAUGUGAUUUUUUUCUCCCUAGCUAUAUUUACCUAUGCAGGUACAGGCAUGGAGAAAGAGUUGGAUAACUCAGGAUUGGUGUUUUUCUGGACCUGUAUAAUGAAAAGAUAGCAAGAGAGUUAAGAUAGCAACAAAAAUGCUUGAAACCAAAAGUCAUGAAAUGAGGUUAUCUCAGGAGGAAAAUGAGGAGAGAAAAAAAAUCUAAUGAUUAAGUAGGAGAAAAUAGAGGGCUCAACCCACUAGAAGUGCUGAUGAGGUUGAAUAAAGGCCAAGGGGUACCCAAUCCAGCAUGCUAAAGGUAGGAUUGUGAAUAAGAAGGGGAAUUAGUGAGUCUGGUUAUGGAAUGGGUAUAAAAUAGAUGUAAUGACAAGAACUAGGGGCUGCAUGGAAUGGAGAACAACUUGAGAGAGGCCAAAAAACUGAAAGCUGAGGAUGCUGAAUGGGUCAAUAGGUCAUCCAUGUACACACGGAGAUCAAGCUUUCAAUGGGGCUUAGAUGAUAAAAACCAAGUUUGGGGCUGGAUGCCAAAACCUUUCAUUAAAGAAAGGGAAUAACUUGGGUACAGAUGGGAUGGUAAAAAUUAGUAAAAUCAAAUAGAAUUGGUCUAAAUGAGCGGGAUUUGAGAAGACAGGCUGGGAGGCAGUCUAAAUGCAAUAAUAGGGAAAGAUGACAAUAUUAAUACUAUCUCCUGGCCCUAGAAUAGUUGAGGCAUGGGAUGAUAAACAGUGACCUAUAAGUGUGUUGCAAAGCAACAGUGUCAUUGAGGAAGAGGUCCAUUUUAAUUAAGGCAGGAAGAUGGAGGAAACCCUUGAAAAGGGAGUUGAGAGUAUUGUUUAUGUAUCAGACAGGGACUGGUGGUCAAGAAAACAGAAACUAUUUCAUGUCUUUCAUAUUGUGGGAAUUUAAUUCAAGGAACUGGUUACAAAACAUCUGGCAGGACAAUAGGAACAAAAGGAGACAGAGGAGGUGGCUGAAGGGGUACAAGUGGAGAAGUGGAUUCUUGGAGAUCAGAAGCUCCUAAUACCCAUAAGCCGACCCUUGCUGCUGUGCUACUGGAGAAACUGUCACAAUCAGUUCUGGAUCCACCUCACCCAGGGCUAAAACCACUUAGAAGGCGCUGCCCUGGCUCGGCUGCCGGAAUCCAGAAUUCUCUGACGCCUACUGUCACAAUUGCCAGCAAUUACCACACCAUCAGAGCCGGAAGCAAGAAACUGCUCCCUUCCAUCCACCUUCUGUUCUCCACACUGUCUUCUACUGGCAGAAGGAAGGCAACUGGCAGGGGGCCUGCAGAAAUAUGUUUUCAAUCUCCCAGCCCCAGCAAUGUAGAUCCAAGUGGGGAAGGGCUUUCAGGACAUUCUGGACCUUUCAGUAGAGAAUACUCUGAGCUGGAAGGUCAAGUUGGAGGGGGGAAAUAUUCCCCUCAGGCCCUCUGAUGUCUUUUCGACUGCAGAAUGCUGUGGGCUCUCACAGGGGGAGAUUCCAUUUGUCUGAGCCUGUGGAGUCUGACUCACUUGCCGAGGAGGGCAGAGUGCAGCCCUGAGUUGGGAGCAAGCCCCCCCCCCCGGCCUUAAAGGCACAGUGCAUGGACUCUGGCUUAAGAGAGGAGAAGGACGCUAACAAGUAACUGGGCUGCUCCCCUGUAAUUUCUAGGUGCAUUGUUCAUGUGUUCAUCAUUGAUAAGCACAAAUUCCAGUAAAAAGGUAAUAGUUUACUUAAAAUCUUCUUCACUUGGGAAUGGAAAAAUACAUAUUGGAUUUUACAUGCCCUUGUGAAUUGAGAUCACCUGCAUCAUCCACAUGAAGAAUAAGAAUAUUUAUUGUAUGAUUAAGGUUCUGAUCCAUAGGGGGAGGAAAAAUCAUUUGCAUGUCACGAUUUAUCCGCCUCCUUAAUUCUCAGCCCACUCACUUCAUAAAUUAACAACAGGUAGCAUCAAUCUCUCUUCAAAAUAUGUAAGACACAUGUAACCUGGGGGGCUCAGGCUUCGUGAGCUGGUGAAAAUAGGUGUUGUCAUUAACUCGAACACCCACAUCUUAAAGCUCAAGACCCUGCUUGCUUGGCUGCAAGAAGUUCAGUGUUUUAGAGAAUCCUCCUCCAAGUGCAUUGCCAUGGGGUAUGCACAUAUAUUUAUAAUCAUCGCUUGUCCUUUCUGGCUGAGAUGACCAAUAAGCUACAACUCAACUGUCUCAAGCCUUGACACACCCAGAAAUGGCUUUUGAGUCUGGCAUUCUGUGUGCUGGGCAUUGCCACUUGGAUUUGGACAUGCUGCAGCCCUGCCAUAAUUGCUGCUGGAGGGGCUAGAACCCAGUGACUUUCCCACACAGCUGGAAUUAUGAUGCUGCCACUCAACUCUGGGGCCACUCCUGGGAGGUGGAAAGAUGCCAAUUACUUUUGUGAUCUGUUCAGUUAAUGGGUGGGGGUGAGACAGAUUAUUUUCCCUUGUACUUGACAGGUUUUAGAUGUGUAUGAAGAAGUAACUUAUAUUUAACAUUUUUAUUUGAGAAACU